rnacentral:rRNA from 1 species
GACGAACGCUGGCGGCGUGCUUAACACAUGCAAGUCGAACGGUGAAGCGCCUUCCUUUUUGGUGGGUGUGGAUGAGUGGCGAACGGGUGAGUAACACGUGAGUAACCUGCCCCCUUCUUCUGGAUAACCGCAUGAAAGUGUGGCUAAUACGGGAUAUUCUGGGUCUGUCGCAUGAUGGGUCUGGGAAAGAUAUUGUUUCGGUGGGGGAUGGGCUCGCGGCCUAUCAGCUUGUUGGUGGGGUGAUGGCCUACCAAGGCGGUGACGGGUAGCCGGCCUGAGAGGGUGGACGGUCGCACUGGGACUGAGACACGGCCCAGACUCCUACGGGAGGCAGCAGUGGGGAAUAUUGCACAGUGGGCGAAAGCCUGAUGCAGCGACGCCGCGUGAGGGAUGGAGGCCUUCGGGUUGUGAACCUCUUUCGCCAGUGAAGCAGGCCUGCCUCGUUUGUGGGUGGGUUGACGGUAGCUGGAUAAGAAGCGCCGGCUAACUACGUG